AGUCGAACGAUGAUCCCAGCUUGCUGGGGGAUUAGUGGCGAACGGGUGAGUAACACGUGAGUAACCUGCCCUUAACUCUGGGAUAAGCCUGGGAAACUGGGUCUAAUACCGGAUAUGACUCCUCAUCGCAUGGUGGGGGGUGGAAAGCUUUAUUGUGGUUUUGGAUGGACUCGCGGCCUAUCAGCUUGUUGGUGAGGUAAUGGCUCACCAAGGCGACGACGGGUAGCCGGCCUGAGAGGGUGACCGGCCACACUGGGACUGAGACACGGCCCAGACUCCUACGGGAGGCAGCAGUGGGGAAUAUUGCACAAUGGGCGAAAGCCUGAUGCAGCGACGCCGCGUGAGGGAUGACGGCCUUCGGGUUGUAAACCUCUUUCAGUAGGGAAGAAGCGAAAGUGACGGUACCUGCAGAAGAAGCGCCGGCUAACUACGUGCCAGCAGCCGCGGUAAUACGUAGGGCGCAAGCGUUAUCCGGAAUUAUUGGGCGUAAAGAGCUCGUAGGCGGUUUGUCGCGUCUGCCGUGAAAGUCCGGGGCUCAACUCCGGAUCUGCGGUGGGUACGGGCAGACUAGAGUGAUGUAGGGGAGACUGGAAUUCCUGGUGUAGCGGUGAAAUGCGCAGAUAUCAGGAGGAACACCGAUGGCGAAGGCAGGUCUCUGGGCAUUAACUGACGCUGAGGAGCGAAAGCAUGGGGAGCGAACAGGAU
rnacentral:rRNA from 1 species